UUUUCUGACUUCAAAAUAAAAACAUAUAACUUCAUAUUUCAAAGCAAUAUUUCUUUCUUUUUCCAUCCCCACUAAAAGUCGCUGCUGUUUCACCAAUUAAUGAAGCAAAUAAGUUAUUAUCUGACUGACUACAGGCAGAGAAUCUCGGCAGUUAUUGACCACUGUGCCCUACGAGAUGACAACGGCCUCUGUGUUAUUAGAGAAAAUUAGAGGCAAUUGUCUCAAUCAAGAUUGAACUUGGUCUCAAGUGUCCUGAAUCCAGUGAUUAUCUAAUCUGUGAUACAAAGACUAACUACCUUGCCUCCAUUUUGAGAAACCCGGAAGUGCUGCUAUUUUAGUUCCAGAGCUUCUCACAGGAAGGCUUAAGAUCUAAGAAGUUGAGCCACCUCAGCCUGGUUCAGAAGCCUUGCUGGAAAGAUGAUUGCUGGAGAGGUGAUGCAAUCAUUUGGAAAAUAGAAGACAACGUGUUGCUCUGUUGCCCAGGCUACAGUGCAGUGGCUCGAGCUCGGCUCACUGCAACCUCCGCCUCCCGGGUUCAAGCGAUUCUACUGCCCCAACCUCCUGAGUAGCUGGGAUUACAGGCAUGCACCACUGCACUCGGCCAAUUUUUGUGUUAUUAGUAGAGAUGGGGUUUCACCAUGUUGGCCAGGCUGGUCUCGAACUCCUGUCCUCAGGUGACCCACCUGCCUCGGCCUCCCAAAGAGCUGGGAUUACAGGCAUCAGCCACCACUCCCGGCCAAAAGAAAUUAUUUUCUAUCUUAGUAUCAUUUAUUUGUCCAUUUUAAAUUGUCUUCUUCAAGUGUUAAAAUAUUUACCAUAUUUAUACUUCUUACUCCUUUACUGUUCUUUUUAAAAGUUAAAGAUAUGAUUUCAAUAUUUAUUUUAAUAAAUGUUCCUAAAGUUAUGUAUUUCUCUUGAAAUACUGCUUACUUUCAUCUUACAAAUUUUGAAGUGAAUUACUUUAAUGUGUAGUUUAGUUUAAAAUCUCAAAAUUGCAUUUGUAAAAUAAGCCAGGCACAGGAAAACAAAUUAUCACAUGUUCUCACUCAUCUGUAAAAGCUAUAAAAGUUGAUCUCAUGGAAUUAGGGAGUAGAAAAGUAGGGAAGGGUAGGGAGGAAGGGAUAGCCAGAUAUUUGUUACUGAAUAUAAAAUUCCAACUAUAAUUCACAUAAAAUAGGAGAAAUAAGUUCUAGUUUCUAUAUCAUUGUAGGGUGCCUAUAAUUAACAACGAUUUAUUGUAUAUUUUCAAACAACUAAAACAGAGAAUUUUGAAUAUUUUCAAAAAAGAAAUGAUAAGUGUUCGAGGUGAUGGAUAUUCUAAUUACCCUGAUUUGAUUAUUACACAUUGUAUAUUCAGGUAUCAAAAUAUCGCACUGUAACCCAUACGUUUGUGCAGUUAGUGUGCAUUAAUAAAAA
rnacentral:lncRNA from 10 species